rnacentral:rRNA from 1 species
GAUGAACGCUGGCGGCGUGCUUAACACAUGCAAGUCGAACGGAAAGGCCCAAGCUUGGUUGGGUACUCGAGUGGCGAACGGGUGAGUAAGACGUGGGUGAGCGUCCCUACACUUCGGGAUAAGCCUGGGAAACUGGGUCUAAUACCGGAUAGUACCACAUAUUGGAUGUUGUGGUGGAAAGAUUUUCGGUGUGGGGUGAGCGCGCGGCCUAUCAGCUUGUUGGCGGGGUAAUGGCCUACCAAGGUGGCAACGGGUAGCCGGCCUGAGAGAGUGUACGGCGACACUGGGACUGAGAGACGGCACAGGUACGUACGGGAGGGAGAUGUGGGGAAUAUUGCACGAGGGGCGCAGGCCUGAUGAAGAGGGGUUGCGGGGGGGAUAGCGGCGUUGGGGUUGUAGACCGGUUGUGAUAGUGGAAAGGUGACUCUGUGACGGUACCUGGCGAAGAAGCACCGGCUAACUACGUG